UCAUCAGACCCCAGCCCCGAAUUAGCACCUGAGGCAAAGGUGGGGUUUGCAGUGCAUGCAUCUGUUGUUGAUACUUAGCUUUUCAAUAUCCCUCUCCCUGCUUCUUCAUACUAUCUGCAAACAUGACAGGGCUGCAAACCAGCAGGAGGAUAAUAACACAGUGUUUAUCAGCUGAUCAACAAAACAAAAGCCUGUCUCAUUAGUUCAAGCUAUAAAACAGUUUUUUACAAUGAAGGAAGGAGGGACAUUACCAGCUGACCUGUUGAUUAUUUCCAAAAAGCCCUAAGCAGACACUGUUCUGUCUGCUUGUUGCAGUGAAAUUGGACACUGUCUCUCCAGAGCUCUGGCUAGGGAGCAGAGGGGCAGGGUCAGCCUGUUCUCUGAAGCAGAGAACCCAGCCCAUGGCUGAAAAGUAUCUGGGAUGCUGGGGGACCUUGGUUUAACUUAAACUAGUAAGGGGUCUGGGACAGACAUUGCAUGAACUGGUUUGACCCAAAUCAAUUAAGUCUGAUCCUACAUUCAACCAUUUUGAAACUGGCUUGUGUGCACUGAACUUGUGUUCUGUUACAGAUUUAAACCAGUUUCUGAUCACUUAAACUGGUUUAUGUGUAAUGUUUGUCCCUAGCCUGCAGGUUAGUCUAAGCUGCAGAAAGUAAACUGUAAAACAACUGGACACACAUUUACUUAAUUCAGGAAAUACAGCCACUUCCCUGCAGUGGCUCAGGCCAGACGCUAGGGGGUGCUAGAGUACAGCUCUCUGGCAUGGGCUGUGUGUUUGCUUCCUCUUCCUGUUACUCCUGAGGUCUCUGGGACUUGCAGUCCAGAAUCACAAAAGCAGGCUUCUGCAGGGUUGCUCAUCACUUCUUCUUGUUUCCAAGUGCCUCUAGGAUUUGUAGUCCACAGUUGCAGCCAGCAGUAACUUUCGAAAUGCUACUGCUGAUGCCAGGCAGUUGGUUUGAAUCUUGGGUGAAAAAAGAAAAAGAAGCAGCAACCCUCUUACAACAUCUCCGUACUUCCAUUCUGGGCAGAAAAUCAACCUCCCUGCUUAAAACACAGACCCCAAUUUUGGAAGGCUAAUUUUGCAGCAAGAGCAGCAGGAGCCACUACAUCUGAGGUCAAGAAUUUUACAGCUUAAUCCUAGGAAAAAUCUACAGAUCCAGCCUGUAAUACAGCACAUAGCUUUUUUCAAGUUCGAUGAACAGCCUACUACAAGAUCUACAAAAUGAAGCCCUCCUGAAACGCCCUAGUCAUGCAAGUAACUUCCUUAUACAAACUACCAAUAAAAUGAAACCCCUGUAAAUUUAUAAUUUCCAUUAAGCCUUUGUGAUACCAUUGGUGAAACUUAAAUUAUCUUGCAAAUAAAUGCUACUUU